ACGGUCCUAAGGUAGCGAAAUUCCUUGUCGGGUAAGUUCCGACCCGCACGAAAGGUGUAACGAUUUGGGCACUGUCUCAACGAGGGACCCGGUGAAAUUGAAGUACCUGUGAAGAUGCAGGUUACCCGCGACUGGACAGAAAGACCCCAUGGAGCUUUACUGUAACCUGACAUUGGGUUCUGAUACAUUACGUACAGGAUAGGUGGGAGGCAUGGAAACCGGAACGCUAGUUUCGGCGGAGCCGACGUUGGGAUACCACCCUUGAUGUAUCGGAAUUCUAACCGUAGGAGUAACGAAACUCGGGACAGUGUCAGGCGGGCAGUUUGACUGGGGCGGUCGCCUCCCAAAGAGUAACGGAGGCGCCCAAAGGUUCCCUCAGCGCGGCCGGAAAUCGCGCGAAGAGUGUAAAGGCAGAAGGGAGCUUGACUGAGAGCCAAACACGGCGAUCAGGUACGAAAGUAGGGCUUAGUGAUCCGGUGGCAUCCAAGUGGAAGGGCCAUCGCUCAACGGAUAAAAGCUACCCUGGGGAUAACAGGCUAAUCUCUCCCAAGAGUCCAUAUCGACGGGGAGGUUUGGCACCUCGAUGUCGGCUCAUCACAUCCUGGGGCUGAAGUCGGUCCCAAGGGUUGGGCUGUUCGCCCAUUAAAGUGGUACGUGAGCUGGGUUCAGAACGUCGUGAGACAGUUCGGUCCCUAUCCAUCGCGGGCGUAAGAGAUUUGAAGGGGGCUGCUCCUAGUACGAGAGGACCGGAGUGGACGAACCAAUGGUGUACCAAUUAUCCUGCCAGGGGUAUAGUUGGGUAGCUACGUUCGGAAAGGAUAAACGCUGAAAGCAUCUAAGCGUGAAACCAGCCUUAAGAUGAGAUCUCUCAUAACAAAAGUUAGUAAGACACCUUGAAGAAGACGAGGUUGAUAGGUCGGGAGUGUAAGUGCAGUAAUGUAUUUAGCGGACCGAUACUAAUAAGUCGAGGGCUUGACUAA
rnacentral:rRNA from 1 species